AAAAAAAUAAUACCAUUAAUGUCCAACUAUUACCUGAGGAAGAGAAUCACCCUCAAACUAGUCAAAGAUGUUCACUAUGCAGAAGCCUGUGCUUUGUAAAUCCCACAAGUAGCAAACGCAUCAAAAUAAAACUCAGUAUGUGGUACCUGGAUAGCCUUUUCACAUAGCCUAUUAUUGCUCUUUCAAGGUGAGACAACAAGGAUGUGUGGCCUAAGAUGUAAAUGCAACAGGAUACUUGGCCUAAGAUGUGGUCACUGCAUGUCCUGCCUGAAUAACAGAAUACUUAGAAUAUAGUUACUUGAUGUUUGGGUAUUUAGAAGGUAAUGAAACUUGUUUGUUCUUUGUAUCUUGAUAAAGCAGUCUUUUGCCUUCUCCCCCUCUUUUGAUGGGGUACAAAAGACUUUGAACAAUAAACAUGGGCUGUUCAGUAUUCACUGAAUACCCUCCCAAUUCUAUCCCAUGUUUCUGUUUUUCUUUGGUAUCUUUAUUUUUCUACCCACCAUUUCUCAAUCCACACUCCUCCUUUCAAUCAUGGACUGGACAGACAAGUCAGCAGGACCAGAAGAAGGCCCCAGAAAUUAGGUUACUACAUCUAUCUAUCUAUCUAUCUAUCUAUCUAUCUAUCUAUCUAUCUAUCUAUCUAUAGGAUUUAUUAAAGGGGCAUGUAGCCUGUGGUAUGACUGUUCUAACAAUGGCUGUAUCUUGAUGGAAAGCUAAAGAAUCCAAUAGUUGCUUGGUCCACAAGGAUGAAUCUCUCAAGUGGUCUUUUGUAUAUGCCAGAAUCAGAAGAACUAGGCUCUAAUACCAGUGAAGGAAUGAACUUGAUAGUGGGGGUGAGGGCAAGCAGGCAAAGAACAAAUGCUUCUGUCUUCCAUGUCCUUUAUGUAGACUGACACCAGAUGGUGUGGCUCAGAUCUAAGGUGGAUUUCACCUCAGAUGAUCCCAUCAAGAAAAAAAAUCCUUCACAGAUGUGCCCAGCUGCUUGGAAAGUUGGUUAAGUACAGAUAUAGUCAAAUCGACAAUCAAGAAUAGCCAUCACAUUCACCAUGUGACCACUGCCCCAUCAAGCUCUCAUGACAGUGUGGAGAAUUGGGCCACCUUGCCCUGUCUAAGGUUGCCAUUGCAAACACUUAGAACCUCAGGGCACACGUAAAAGUUCCAUACUAAUGGAUCAAGCACAUCUCAGAUUCAUCAGAGUGCAGAGGAAAAUAAAGAUGGACAUUCCAGAUAACAUAGGCAUCCCUUCCCAGGGAACCAUGCCUAGGUGAGCAUGGUGAACCUUUCCCCAGUGUUUACUUCUGGAUUGGCUCACUUCUCUGGAACCUGCUGUUUUAUGUAGCACCUUUUUAUGUUUCUCAGGAUAAUGGGCUCCUCUCCCUUAGAAAACUGUGCUUAUGCCACAUAACGAGUAGGGGAUAAUGCCUUUGAAUUUCCAAAUUUGUAUUUUCUUGUAGUUCACAAAUUGGAUGCAUAUUAACACUGGUGGUCAUAGAAGUGUUUUGAACAGGAGGUGGUGUCUAUAAAGAUAAUACCUGGGCCUUGCUAGUUUUCCUUACAAGGUCACCAAAAAAAGAAGCAGAACUUAUAUACAUAAGCAUUUUUUUUUACCCAUUUACCCAGAUUUUUGCAAAUUCCCCAUUGAAGAAUAGUAUUUCUUUUGUUAGCUGGGUUUGAUCUUAUGAUUUAUAGCCUCUGUUAGUACAGGGCUGAACCACAUUAGGCUUUUCUUGUCUCUCCUUUCUGAUUACUACUAAACAGUCUCUUUUAUACCUAAGGGGAAGGGGUGAUAUCAACUUGAUUUGUUAAUUCUGAUUAAAGUUUUAAUUCUCAGUCUCUUUCUGGUAAAAGCUCUUGUUUGUGAUGGAGAGAGGAGGGCUGGUUGAUCACACUACAACACAAAAAUACCAAGUUCAAUACAAUAUUAUAAUACAUAUGAUGAGAAUCUAGACUAAUUUAGACCCAUGUGGUGGUUAAUGUUGAAUGUAACCUUGACAUGUUCUAGAGUCUAUUAGGAGACAAAUAUCUUGGUAUAUCUGAGGGCAUUUCUAAAUUAGAUUAACUGAAAUGAGAAGCCCUAUCUUAACUGUGGGUGUCACUCUUCCAUGGAUUGGGAUCCUAAAUGGAAUAAAAAUGAAAGGAACUAUGACUGCAGGUAUCUCUCUUUCUCUGCUUUAUGACCACAAGGAACUACCUAAAUCUCCUGCUUGCAUGCCAUCCCAGCUAGGAUGGACUGUAUCUUCCGUGAACCAAGGAUCGAUAAAGACAAAGGCAGCAAUUCUAAUCUGUCUGCCAACAAAGGGAAGAAUUAUUGAUGUAAAUAGCAAGAUGACAGCUUCAAAGGGCAUCCUUUAAAUGGAGUUGGCUCAUAUUGGCCCAUGAAAGCCAUCAGCAUCUCACAGGUGUUGCGCUCUUCUUGUUUCAGGUGAGCAUUGUCUCCACAACCUGUAGAUCUUCUGGUGAAAGCAAGAUAAAUAUGGGCCUGAAUUUAGUACCAGAGGCUGGAAGUGGCUGGAUUGCUACUGAAGACAGAGCUGGUUAAACUCUGCAGGGAUUGAGGUUUAAAAUGCCUGUGAUGGAAAUGGGAAACUGGAAGCCUCAUUUAUGGGAAGAUGUUCUGCCUGGAACUGUCAGAAUUCUGCACCAGGAAAAUAGAAAUGUCUGGGGAAACUGGUCAUCUUUGGUGCGUGCUCUGCACAGAUGCAUCUCUGUUUCAUCACAACCCCCCAUAUAGCCUCAGUAGAAGCCCAGAAACACAGGACCAGGGACCACAGACUGAAACAUCUGAAACUAUACUCUCCAGAUAUUUGUUCAAGCAGCAAUAAAAUGAUCUCAAGAAAUUUCCAGUCACAGCCUUCACCAUAGUCCAUCAUUCCAUCUAAGAACAGAGUACUUUUCCCUGUUGCUAUUUACUGUCAGGAGUAAUGAGAUGUGGCCAAAGAAAUUCAGGAUGAAGACAGAGAUGGGGUUGAGCCCUCCAUGUUCACUAGAUGUAGGAAUUUGGUUGAUGCCCUGCCCAGGACACUAUGUUGGAUUAUUUCUUCAGUCAUGGAAAGGAAGAUGGUACCAUCUACUGAAGAGUGUUUUGGAUUGCUGCUGUUAUACUGUAAAUGGACUCACCAUAUAUCCGUGUCUGACCUAUGAUUCCAUCACUUGUCCUUGCCUUGCCUCUGGGCUCUGGCCUCUGGGCUUUCACCAGCAGACACUCUCCUUGAGGAAGAGCCUUUGAAGCCACUAAUACCAACCCAGAAUAUUCGAACACUACCUAAGCAGAAAGCAGUAACUUUCUAAGUAUGGAACAGGAGAUGUGAAGAAAUUGGGAAACAAGGACUCUUGAUAAACCAAAUUGCCCUGAGGAUGAAGAAGAAAAUGAACAUGCAUACUCAGAAGAAAGAUGAAAGUCGCUUCAAUGUGCUUUUUAUGUUAUGAUGAAAAGGCUGUCACUAUUAAAUUAUAGUAUUAAUUUUAAACAUUUGAAUAACAAACUUGAAAAGAACUGUAGUAAUGCUGGUCUAUUAUCAUCAUAAGCUUUUUGAUGUGUGUUUUCUAGUUUCUUCUAUGUGUGUUCUUUUCUAUAAUGGCAGCUGUAUGCACAAUUUCAUGCAGCUAUUUUUCUAAUGAAAAUAAUAAUAAUAGCUUAAGCAUUUUCUCAGUUAUUAGAUGUUUUCCAUAAAGGUGAUCUCUAUUGAUUCCCUGUAUCUUCUGACAGGAUAUGUAGUAAUUUUUAAUCCUUUCUAUGCUAUUGAACAUUUAGAUUGUUGCUGUGAAUAGCAUAAAAUUUUUAUCCUAUCUUUGACAUUUCUUGGACUGGAAUAUCUUUUAUUGAUUUUAAGUUUAUUUUUGAGAUUAUAAUACAAUUUCCACAUUUCUCCCUGCCCUUUCCUCUAUCCAAAUCUUCCUAUAUAUGCCUUUAUGCUCUUCUGCAAAUUCGUGGCCUCUUUUUUCAAUAAUUAUUGUUACAUGAAUAUAUGUAUAUAAUAUAUAUUCCUAAAUAUAAUCUUCUCAGUCCAUAUAAUGUUACUGGUAUGUAUGUUUUCAAGACUGACCAUGAGACACUGGACAACUAAUUGCUUUUUCUAAAAAUUAGUUAAUAUCACCAACAAUAUCUAUGAACUUCCUAAAUUUAAAUGAUUGUUGCAUUCCUCAUAUGUUCCUUGUUGUGAUGUAUACUGAACUCCAUUUGCCAUUAUUUUCUUUGGAAUUUUAUGUUUGUAUUCAUAAAUAUGAGUGAUUUAGGCAGGCACAGCACUGGCCUGUUCUCAGGAAAGUUCACAUCACCUCUAUCAGAUGAGCUUGAUUUUAGAACUUCUACUUCCUCCUUCAAUGGAUAUAAUACAAAGGUGUGAUUAAAUAUUGAAUUCUGAGAGCGAAUCUGCAUACAUCUUUAUGGUUGGGAAGGUAAUUUGAAUGACUUAUUGUCUGGAACAGAGUAAUUGUAAAUUCAUAUAGACACACAUGAGCUCAAGACUCAACAUUUUUCUUCCUUAAUAUAGUUUAAAAAUAGUGAGCCUUCUAAAGUUGAUAGGAGAGGCUUAUUCAUGGCAUAUGCAUGUUAAUGUAUAGGCUGAUCAUUGUAGUAUGAUGUCACCUGGUGGACCCUGAUCCUUGAGCUGAUGACUGCUUUCUGAAGAAUCCUUACUACCCUGCCAAUAUGGACAGAAUCCAUCCUUUUAAGCAAUUCUUAUGUGCAGGCUUUGAUUAAGAAACGAUACAUAGUGAAAAGAGUAUACAUAGACUUCUAAUUCCAAGUUCUGUUGUUUAUUUGUUGAUAUCAUGAAAAUUCUCAAAGCUUUCUGGAUGCCAUUUUUUAUCAUCUGUAUUAAAAGCUCAAUACAUAUCUA